CUUGCUUUCCUUCAUGUUAAAAAGGAAAUACUUAAAAUUAUUUUUAAAAUACAUAAAAACAAAUAUAUGUUAUUUUAGUAGUAUUUCCCAUGUAUUUGAACUUCUGCAACAUGGUAGAAACUACAGACACCAGUCUAAUAUUAAAUCUUUUCCAGCUUAUAAAGCAUCCUCUGCCAUCCUGUCUGUCUUCUAGGUAGUCUUUUGGAAGGUUUUAUUUCCUUGAUCAAGGUGAGUCCUGAACAGAUGCUCUCAAGAAUUCUGACUAAGAGAUCUUCUCAGAUCAGCCUGGCCUGAGGCUGAUAACUAUUGUAAAAUCCACUUGGAGUUUGAGUGAUUUCAUCAACUGUGUUUCAGUCGUAGUGUAUGAGCUCAGUGAAUGAACGCAUAUGUUUGAAUAUUUAAGUGUCUUCAAAAGGGCAUUCUUGGAAGGAAAGGUGACAUUUGGAUCUGAGACUUGACAUAUUUGAAUGGAUGUUAAAAAUAAGGCUACUUGAAUGUCUAGCCAAAAUAUGUCCCUGCCAUCUGCUGGCCUCCCGAAUGCACCAGGCAAAAUUAGCAUUGCUUAAAUAUGUUUUGCUGCAUAAGCAGAUCAUAAUCCAUUGGCUCUGUUCCUUGGGGUACAGUACAGGAAGUUUUCAUAAGUAGCCCUAGCAAUAAAUGCAGCAAGACGUUAAUAAUGUUCACUCUUUGCAUAGCUGACUCCUUAGGGUGAGUUGUUUAUAGAUCAUUUUUGAUGAUCAUCUUUUAGCUUCUGCCUUCACUAAAGCAUCUAGAAACUUGCAGCAAAGCCAACAGCAUAAGUUAUAGGAGAGAGUUUUGAAAAAUACUUCUGUGAAGAAGUAAGUGUGAUUUAAUUUACUGAGAAGAAAUAAAUCUUCAUAGUUUUAGCGCUUAAUUUUUAUGCUUUUGACUCUAGAGUGAUCAAGUUAUGUUCAUGUAAGACAAACUUUUUAGCACUUCUGGGGGUGGAAGAGCAAGUGAAAGUCUGAUGCUUCAUCAUUUUUGUUUAAUGACUCUGAUCUUAAAAAUUUCUCAACACUGCCAAAGGUACAAAUUGUAGAAAUCAAGUGAACUGUGUCAGAUUUUUCUGAUAAUCUACAUCUGAUGUGGCUUAUGUCACCUGCUUCUGUGAGGCACUUUGAUAACUCACUUCUGCGUAGCUUGCCCCGUGUCCAUCUUUCAGCUACUGACAGAGGAGUGAUUUGAAAACUUCUAACAGACAGCAAUGAAAAAUUGGUUGUAAACUUCAGAUGCAUUUGAAAGCGUGAUCAGUAGCCCACAUCUUGAUAGAAGGAAGAUCAGAAAAAUGUUAAAGGUAAGAGAAAUCCAAGUAAGACAGCCACUGUUACAGUUUGACAGUGGUCAGCCUCCUUGUCCUCUUAGAGCACACAAAGGUGUGUGCAGGCAUGUGCUUCAAGCAUUGACAGAAGUACUUGGAUUGGUGUUUUGUGAAGGAUAGCAUAUAUCCUUCUGCGAAUUUAAAAUAUAUUUUUUUCUGGCACUUGGGGAUCCAGGUGCCAGAUUUAUUCAAUUAGAGUAAAUAUAGCAAGGCUUCAGCACUGGACCAACAUACAGAGUAUUUAGCAGUGCAGAUCUGCAGCCUACCACGGGAACAUGUGCCAGGUUCUUACUUCCCAUCUUAGUAGAAACUGUAUUUAUAAAAAUCCUACUUGAUAUAGAGAAUAGUUGCUGGCAUGGAAUUCUUCUUGGAAGAUGUUGUUCAUGUAUGGUGUACAUGCAAGAGUUGUCUGAAGAGCUUCGCAUCCCCAAUAGAGCUCAGUCAGCCCUGAGAAAUUCAUAUACAUGAGAGCUCUUUUCAAAAAAAUUCUCCAAUACAUAUCUGAGACAAAGUCAGCAAAAGAGGGAAGCUAAUAGAAAUAUGCAUUUAAAUGCUUACCUUUCCCGAAUGUGAUGCUGCUACUUUAUGGGAUACUUUUUGACUGAUUUGGUACGAGGUAGUGAAAGUAAUGUUAAAAUCCAAAGUGGUAUUAAUUGGUGAAAUCUCUGUUUUCAGGAUUUGUGAAAGGAAUUCAGACAGUCUUGCUCCCAUGUACCUCUAAUUGGCAUAGCAUAGAUAUCAGGUCAGGAAAAACCCAAAGUGAUUAAAAUACUGUAUUUUCAGAAGGUAGUAAGUUGGGGUGGGGUGAGGGGGAGAAGGUGGUGUGGCUUCGCUGCUGCCCAGGGACAGAACUGGCAGUCUGGGGUAUCUUUAAUGAUACUUAUGAAUAAGUAAUGAAUUUAAUGCAAGAAUAGGGACAUGUUAACGAGGAGUGUGAGAAGGCCUUAUUGUGGGAAGUGUUUACCCAGGGCGCCCAAGUUGUGUGUCUGUGAGAUUUGCAAAAUUGGUUGUUAAUCAGGCUAUGAAUUAAGCACAUCCCUCUUCAGUAUCCUGUUUGUAGGGCUGGGCUGAGGAGUGUUUGCCACAGACCUCCUCCGGCGUGUUUCUCACUCUGCAUGCUGCUGUUUAAAAGUGCUCCCGCUGUCUUUAUGAAUGUGUUCUCAGGUUUCCCAAGUGUGUUAAAUGAAGUGGCUUAAUUGAUUUUAGGUUUUGUAAUACCUGUGUUUUGCUUUAUCUCAGUUGCCCUAUCCAGCUGUAGCUAUUUAGUUGAAAAUUUCCUUUGAGUGCUACAGUACAAAGCAAUGACAACAACGGAAGCCAAUUUGAAAAUAGUUAUUGCAGACCCUGUUUCUUUGAGACUUUAAAAGGAAGGACUAAUAUUUUUUUGUCACAGACCUCUCUCUUCACAGCUACCUCAAAGUACUUCCCUCCUGCCCCGUCCUAUGGCAUUUGCUGCUCAUCUUCUGAAAUCUGGCCCUCGUUUCUAAACCUGGGAAGAGCAUCCACAAGUAAUGUGUGAUACUUAAGACCCUCUUAUGAUUCCCUCUUGCUUGCCUCCUGCUCCUGACAAGGAUUUCUGUAUUCCUUUGUUACCUGGCCAUGUCACAUACUGGACUUUCCUGUAGCUCUCUUGCCGAGUGACCGAGACACUAGAUCCCAGCAAUCGGAAUCGAACUCCUCUUGAACUUCAUCCAAGUGUGUGGUCAGCUCUUUGAUGGCAUAGUCAAACGUGCCACAUCUUUGAAGUCAUCUUGUUGUGUUCUGUCUCUGGAAUCCUUGUCUCUCUGGUACGUCUGUGAGAUCCCUUCUCCAGCUCUUUGGCAGUGGACUUGGCCACUGCUCCCUCUCUCCUCCCCUUUCACAGCUUCUAUCUGUCCAAUUUCAUCAAAUACAGCUUCACCUGUUCAGCUCCAACAGGUCACUGUCUAGCAGUUGACCUAAACUAAGGAUCUUUCCUUCUUUCAGUGACAUGUGGGUAUGUGGCCCUCAGCUUUGGGGCUCAGCCAGCCUCGAGGAAAGGAGCAGGGCCAGCACAUGGUCAGGUUUGGACCAGCUCCUGUGGGUGUGCCCAGUUGGAUUUUAUCUGUGCAGCGUGUAGCUUAGAAAUGCUGCGUAGUUCUCCUUAGCAAUGAAAACCAAGUGACGCUUCCAUUCUUUGCAAGUCAUUAAGGGAGGCACAAAUGUUAUCAGAAAUAUCAUUUAACCCAAAUUAGUAUCUUUGUGAUAUUUUGGGAUCUCUCAUUCUCAGCAUUAAGUCACACAGAGCCACAAAAGACUUGUGAACAAACUCUGAUUAGUACUAAAACCCCACAAUUUUAAUUCUAAAUGAAAGACAGUUUGCCCUCUGGAUGUUCUCACAGUCAUAAUCUCAGUUGCUUGGAAAGUAGAGCUGGUGGUGCCCAUUUUUAGUCUUUUAUUCCCUCUAAAAGGAAGUGAUUCCGAAGGGAGAAGGAGGUUGGGACGUCUCACCCCCACACACACGCUUCCUUUAAGGAAAUGUCUAGUUCCCGGGCAUUUUGCCCAGCAGGGUUUAACACAACAUAUCUUCUGUUUGUAAUACAGAUACUAAUAAAUAAAUUAAGAUGAUAUGGAAAAGAGACCUGCAAAUGCCAUUCAUGCUAGUGUGAGAAGCGUUCUGCUCUGCUGCUGGUUUUUCAUGAAGAAUGGCAGUGUUUGAGUGCGGUGACAGCUGCACCAAAAUGAAUAAUCAGCAUGUCAGAUUCGUUUGAAGAUGCAGAAGCUUUGGGUGCCAGCCAUUACUUUAAAGAUGUUUUUUUUCCUAAAAAGUGUGUAUACAUUUUAGCAAAUGUAGUUUGCCUAAUUAUGUUUAAUAAAUUGGUCUCUAGUAUAUUUUAGAUGACUGUGUAAUUUAUAUACCCUAAAACUUUCAGCACAAAUCACUUGUGAGUUUCAUUUUCAGUUUCACCUGGGAGUUAAAAUGAAACUUACUGAAUACUUUGAUCAAUAAGAGAUUGUUUUCCUGUUAUCAUACAGGAUUUUCAUUUAAAUAGGUCAAUAUAUUGAUAUGUAAAUUGCAUAAUUACCUCAUCUAAGUUUAGUCAUCUGCAGACUAGUCAUCUUGAUGGCACCUGCUUGGGUGCCCUUACGCCAAGAGGAGGGGACAGGGAUAUUUUAGAUGAUGAUUUUGUUCUUGGAGAGUGGAAGCAUUAAAACAGAGUAGGUAGGCUAUGGAUACACCAGAUUCUUUUUCACCAACUAUCAAGGAAGAUUUUCUACCUUGACGAUCUUGGAUGUAGGUAUUUUUCUACACCCUUCUAAACCUCUGUGGUUGAAUUCAUCUAAAUUUCUUCUUAAGGUAGGAAGAAUAUUUCUGAAAGUAAAUUGUCUAGGUGUGUGGUUUGCUACCACUGAAAUGCUGCUCUGUAAGCAGUAGUGGUAAGAAAGGAAAACAAAGAAGCUUUUGUUUUAAAACGCAGCAUCAUAUGAUAAAGAAGCAGGCCUGAAAUGUAGUUUUCUUGCUUGCAUUUCUUAUGAGGUACUCAGUAUCCAGGUGAUGCUUUAAAAGUUCUGAAAUACACACGCCUUUAUAAACGGGGAGCUUAGAUGGCCUAAGGGGAUGGUCAUUCCUGUCUGUUCAUUCCUGCAUAUCGAGCUCUGAGGUUGAACUGCUGUUGAAAUCUCCCUGCUGAAUUAUAGAGUGUUUUGAUUUCAGCUGGACACUGAGCUCUGCCAAACCAUCAUUUAGUAGGAAACAGAACUCAUCUGGCUACAUCUGACUUCAGUCCAUCACCUCUUUCUGAGUUUCCCAUUCAGAAUUUUGUGGCCUUGUUGGAUUUCAAAACUGAGCCCCAUCAUCCUAGUUACUGGGAGAAAACCUCAGCAUUAGCUGGAUUUAUUCCCAGUGAAGUCUAUAGGUAUUCUUGAUUCCUGCUGCUCUGGGAAAAGAAGCAGUGAUCUUGUACUCAGAUUCAAAUGUGUCUAGUGAUGUGCAGUGUGCCGCUUUCAACCUUUUAACUGUCUGAUCUCAGGAUUUAUCAAAGCCUCCAGUUUUUUUCUUUGCUAAUCUAUUGGUUUUUGUCAACCUCAAGUACGGAUUCUCCAAACACAAUCCCUAAUAAUUUCUGUGCAGACUAGUUGCUUUCUGUACCCUGUAUCUUUCUAUAUCCUUUGUGCCCUAACAAGGUAUCCAUUUUUAUUUAAUGCCAAUAAAAUUUGAUUUUCCUACAUAAUUUUCUAUAAGCUUAUUUGGUGAUUAAAAAUGCUUGAGUGACAGCCAGUACUUUAUAGUAAUUUUUUCUUCAUUCCUCUUUCUUCUUGUCCUCUUGCACUUCUCCUCGAGAAGUGUAUUUGACAUAAACCUUGAGGCCUGGAAGUGUCAGAUGGUCUCAGGCUGGGUUGGGUGUGACAAAAAGGUAGCACUUCAUACCGGGGUGGAGUGAGGCAGAAUAAUUCUUAAUGCAAAGUCAAAUCUGAGCAUUUGGCUCUUAUUUUAAUGCAGGUUAUUUAGUGCUCUCAGGUGCUGGCAGUCUGCUUUGAUAUUGCUGUACUGGGGGAGUUAGUCUCAGUGUGUAGUUCUCUAGGGAAUAGACCAUGUUUUAUCCAGGACCUGUUGUAAAAAGGGGAGAGGAAAAAAAAAAAGGUGCUGUUCAUCCCUGCAGAGAAACUCCAUGUCACAUUCCAACUAGAUUUUGCUGUUUGGUGUGAAGAAGAGCAUGCCUAGACUCCCUUUAGUUCUUCAUGGACGGAUUUACAAGUUGUUCUAAAAACCAUCUUUAGUUUCCUAAAAAGCUGGCUUCUGCAAUAGAACUGGGAAUAACUGCUGGUCUUGACUACGGCUAAACAGAGGAGUGAGUGUGUUCGCAGGCAUAAAUGGGGAGAUAGUGCUAACAUUUGAGUCAUUAAAAAAAUUAAUUACACCAUGAGUGAUUUUUAUGUAACUGUAUGAGUGUAUUCAAUACAACUUUAACAGUUACAAAAUUACAGACCCUGGAAAACCUAAUUAGGGGAGAGUGUAAAUAAUCAAGAGCAUGUGCUUGAGUGGGGUUGGGUUUUUUUCCAAUUAAUUUUCAUAGUACCUGAAUGGAAUAACAUGUAGCAUCUGUAGGAGAAAUUUCUGUUGUUGUCAUUGUUCUAAGUCUGCCUGUCACCUCUUUUUAACGCGUUACCCAGCUGACCUCUGACAGCGAUAAUCAUCACGCAGCGUUAACGGGCUGACUCAUGUUGCAGCUCUCAGCCCCUAGAUUUUUUUUUUCUUAAUGAAUUUCCAACAAUAGUUCUCAGGAAAUUACAGCCAGAAAUAUCUUUCUGGUUUGUAAGGAUCCAGUUUCCUAACAAAACCAGCAAUCCACAUUUUAUUGAGUUUUGUAGUCUGGGAAUCAGCAAAUCUUUGCCACCCUGUUCAGCGACACGAGAAACACCAUCAGCAAAACGGGAAGAGGGACGUGUGUGAAAGCAGUGUAGUUGUCAUGGUUGUCUUUCAACAAGGACAUUGAAAAAGGACACUCUGGGGUAGGGAAAAACUAUUAUUAUUUAUUUUAAUUUUAACCUCAUUGUAGGUUUUAUGACAUAGAGUGCAGUCUUGGGGAGGGGAGAGCAAGGAAUUACUUUUAUCAUAAUCAACGUGUGGAGAUAAUGACAAGAAUAUAUUAAACAAGGGAACACUUGUGCUUUUCAGGAUGAUCUGUGUUAUCCUGUGGAUGUUCCCUCGUGUGCCAGUUUCACUUUAGCAGCAGUAGAAGACGGGUGAAACCAGCAAAUAGACUUUUAGUUCUGUAGAACUUCUGAGGGUAGUUUAUACAGCAUCUUGAAAUUGCUUUCAGUAGAGACUUUUGGAGACGACUUGACAAACUUAGAAGCAUUUUGGUGUUUUAGAACUUUUAAAUUUGCUGUGAGGGGGGGAAAGGCAUUUAGAGAGGAUACUGUGGGUCACUGUAUUUUCUUUGUUAUUUUUGUACUGACUGACUUCCUGUGUCCAUCCUCUUUUCACAUCAUGUUGGCCAGAGGUUUUGAAGUUUGAAGUGCCCCGUUCAAAGCAAAUGCUCUGAUGAAAGGACAUCUGUGAAAGCAAACACUGAGUGUGAGAGAGAGAGAAGAGAGGAUGCAUCAGCAUCACAUGCUGAUGUCCAGGCAGUUGGUAAAAUCUGCAUUUCUUGCUUUGCCCAUGCUGUGGGUGUCUGAACAAAAGCAGAGUGAUGGCUGUGGGGUCUGUUAGGUGCAGUCACUGCUGGCUGCACGGUGCUGGAAAAAAGGGGGAAGAGACUGUCCUGUUGGCAACAUGCACCUUCCAGGUCGUGCUUAGUUUUCUCGGGGUCCUGUCAGUGAGCUAAUUACUGAUAAACUGAUGAGAGGGGGUAAAGGAUGUGUAUUGAGCAGAGACCUGUCGAGUGGAUGGUAAAAGGCAUUUCUGGUAUCUGUGACAGGAAUUCUAAAUUUGGGUAGCAGGAGCUGUGAAAGCUUUAGGGGUUUAAUCUAAACACACACACGCACAACUCUUAUUUAUUUUUUUUUAAAUACAUGUAUAUUUUCAUCAAUAUGUUGUUACAGGAUAUCAUUAAGUAAAUGGAGAGAAUGCACAGUCAGUACCAAUAGAAGUAGCUGGGUGUAGCUGUUAAGAGCAAGCAACAUCACUGUGUCUGUUGGAAAAACUCAACUUGUGUCGUAACAUCUCCUCUUGGUAUCAAGUCUUUCCAUUACUGAGUUGACAUGCAUAAAUUUUGUUAUAUUGUGGAUCUGUUUAGCAUAGUUCUUCCAAUAAAGGCGAUAUCUGAAUCGGA